rnacentral:rRNA from 1 species
AUGGUCAGCAAGAUGAACAAAAGAAAAAGGAUGGCUCGGGGAGCAGCUGUUUUUGUUGCACUAGCUGCAAUGGCAGUCAUUGUUCGGACAAUUAUAAGGAAGAGGAGACCAUGUAUUACCUAUGGCCCAAUGCAUGAAAGAGAUCGAAUCAGAUAUGACUAUCUAAACCAGAAAAUUUGGCAAAGCGAUGUGUUAUGCAAAAACAUGCUAAGGUUUGAAAGAGCAGCGUUCUUUCGCUUGUGUGGCAUAUUGAGGGAUCGCAACUUGCUAGAAAUUAGUCCACAUCUUAGUGUGGAGCAAAAAUUGGCAAUGUUUUUGCAUACAAUUGGGCAUAUCCUUUGGAAUAGGGUUGUUUCUGCCAAUUUUGGUAGAUCAUAUGCCACAACCAGCAUCUAUUUUAGAAAGGCUCUUCAUGCCAUAGGCGAGCUUCGUAAUGAUUAUAUAAUGCCACCAUCAUUGGAAACCCCCGCAAAAAUUGCAGGAGAUCAUUGA